CAGAAGUAAGCUCAGGAUGAACCAUCAAACCCACGCUGAGGAUCCACACGCUCUUCCGAACUCACUUGCUGCUAAGAUCUUUCACUUAGCAAUUAAACUUUCAGGUAUAGAAUAAAUGGUAGGGUCUUUCUCAUCUCACAAUUUAGAUUACAUAUUACUCUUCUGCCCUUAAUGUCAGGCUUUUAUGGUAUCCUUAAUGUGAUUUUUAAAAAUAAUCUGACUGAUUGCCCAGGAUCUGACCUUUACAUUAUGAUUUAACAUGUUUAUUCCAUUGCAAAUAGUUUCUUCUUCAAAGAUGUAUGAUCAUCAUAUUUCAAACACCACAAACCUUCCUUGGUUCCCUCGACUGCAAGCUGAAUUUUCAAUUGUAAUUACUAGAAUCUGUCUUUAUCAUGGCAUGAACUUUAUAAAAUAAAAGUCAAUGUAAAAUUAAUAUGAGAAAAGAAUUUUUUUCUGGUGCUCAAAACCAAUGGCUUCAUUGGUAAU
rnacentral:lncRNA from 1 species